GGGAAUGUGGCUUAGUGGUAGAGUGCUUGCCUAACAUGCAUGAAAUCCUGGGUUCGAUUCCUCAGUACCA
rnacentral:tRNA from 1 species